AGAGUUUGAUUAUGGCUCAGAACGAACGCUUGCUGCAUGCUUUAUACAUGCAAGUCGAACGGAGGCCCUAGCUUGCUAGGUGUCCUUAGUGGCGCACGGGUGAGUAACACGUGGGAACAUACCUUAUAGUACGGAAUAACUGCGGGAAACUGUAGCUAAUACCGUAUACUCCAGUAAUGGGAAAGAUUUAUCGCUAUAAGAUUGGCCCGCGCAAGAUUAGCUUGUUGGUGAGGUAAAAGCUCACCAAGGCUUCGAUCUUUAGCUGGUUUGAGAGGACGAUCAGCCACACUGGGACUGAGACACGGCCCAGACUCCUACGGGAGGCAGCAGUAGGGAAUAUUGGACAAUGGGGGCAACCCUGAUCCAGCAAUGCAGCGUGAGUGACGAAGGCCUUAGGGUUGUAAAACUCUUUCAUCGGUGAGGAUAAUGACAGUAGCCGAAGAAGAAGGACCGGCUAAUUCCGUGCCAGCAGCCGCGGUAAUACGGAAGGUCCUAGCGUUGUUCGGAAUUACUGGGCGUAAAGCGCAUGUAGGCGGAACAGAAAGUUAGAAGUGAAAUCCCUGGGCUCAACCUAGGAAUUGCUUUUAAAACUUCUGUUCUGGAAUUCAGGAGAGGAAAAUGGAAUUUCCAGUGUAGAGGUGAAAUUCGUAGAUAUUGGAAGGAACACCAGUGGCGAAGGCGAUUUUCUGGACUGAUAUUGACGCUGAGAUGCGAAGGCAUGGGUAGCAAACGGGAUUAGAUACCCCGGUAGUCCAUGCAGUAAACGAUGGGUGCUAGUCGUCGGACUUUUGUUCGGUGUCGUAGCUAACGCGUUAAGCACCCCGCCUGGGGAGUACGGUCGCAAGAUUAAAACUCAAAUAAAUUGACGGGGACCCGCACAAGCAGUGGAGCAUGUGGUUUAAUUCGACGCAACGCGAAGAACCUUACCAGCGUUUGACAUGGAAAGUGCCGGUUACAGAAUGGUAACCUUCAGUUCGGCUGGCUUUCGCACAGGUGCUGCAUGGCUGUCGUCAGCUCGUGUCGUGAGAUGU
rnacentral:rRNA from 1 species